rnacentral:rRNA from 1 species
ACUCCUACGGGAGGCAGCAGUGGGGAAUAUUGCACAAUGGGCGCAAGCCUGAUGCAGCCAUGCCGCGUGUGUGAAGAAGGCCUUCGGGUUGUAAAGCACUUUCAGUCGUGAGGAAGGUAGUGUAGUUAAUAGCUGCAUUAUUUGUACGUUAGCGACAGAAGAAGCACCGGCUAACUCCGUGCCAGCAGCCGCGGUAAUACGGAGGGUGCGAGCGUUAAUCGGAAUUACUGGGCGUAAAGCGCAUGCAGGUGGUUUGUUAAGUCAGAUGUGAAAGCCCGGGCGUCAACCUCGGAAUAGCAUUUGAAACUGGCAGACUAGAGUACUGUAGAGGGGGUAGAAUUUCAGGUGUAGCGGUGAAAUGCGUAGAGAUCGUG